rnacentral:rRNA from 1 species
UACGAAGGGGGCGAGCGUUGUUCGGAUUUACUGGGCGUAAAGGGCGCGCAGGCGGUUCUGUUUGUCGAGUGUGAAAGCCCCGGGCUCAACCUGGGAACUGCGCUCGAAACGGCGGAACUAGAGUUCGGGAGAGGAGAGUGGAAUUCCCAGUGUAGAGGUGAAAUUCGUAGAUAUUGGGAAGAACACCGGUGGCGAAGGUGGCUCUCUGGACCGAUACUGACGCUGAGGCGCGAAAGCGUGGGGAGCAAACAGG